rnacentral:rRNA from 1 species
UACGGGGGGGGGCAAGCGUUGUUCGGAAUUACUGGGCGUAAAGGGCUCGUAGGCGGCCAACUAAGUCGGACGUGAAAUCCCCAGGCUCAACCUGGGAACUGCGUCCGAUACUGGAUGGCUUGAAUUCAGGAGAGGGAUGCAGAAUUCCAGGUGUAGCGGUGAAAUGCGUAGAUAUCUGGAGGAAUACCGGUGGCGAAGGCGGCAUCCUGGACCGACAUUGACGCUGAGGAGCGAAAGCUAGGGGAGCAAACGGG